rnacentral:rRNA from 1 species
UAUCAUUAACUGAAUCCAUAGGUUAAUGAGGCGAACCGGGGGAACUGAAACAUCUAAGUACCCCGAGGAAAAGAAAUCAACCGAGAUUCCCCCAGUAGCGGCGAGCGAACGGGGAGCAGCCCAGAGCCUGAAUCAGUAUGUGUGUUAGUGGAAGCGUCUGGAAAGGCGCGCGAUACAGGGUGACAGCCCCGUACACAAAAAUGCACAUGCUGUGAGCUCGAUGAGUAGGGCGGGACACGUGGUAUCCUGUCUGAAUAUGGGGGGACCAUCCUCCAAGGCUAAAUACUCCUGACUGACCGAUAGUGAACCAGUACCGUGAGGGAAAGGCGAAAAGAACCCCGGCGAGGGGAGUGAAAAAGAACCUGAAACCGUGUACGUACAAGCAGUGGGAGCACGCUUAGGCGUGUGACUGCGUACCUUUUGUAUAAUGGGUCAGCGACUUAUAUUCUGUAGCAAGGUUAACCGAAUAGGGGAGCCGAAGGGAAACCGAGUCUUAACUGGGCGUUAAGUUGCAGGGUAUAGACCCGAAACCCGGUGAUCUAGCCAUGGGCAGGUUGAAGGUUGGGUAACACUAACUGGAGGACCGAACCGACUAAUGUUGAAAAAUUAGCGGAUGACUUGUGGCUGGGGGUGAAAGGCCAAUCAAACCGGGAGAUAGCUGGUUCUCCCCGAAAGCUAUUUAGGUAGCGCCUCGUGAAUUCAUCUCCGGGGGUAGAGCACUGUUUCGGCAAGGGGGUCAUCCCGACUUACCAACCCGAUGCAAACUGCGAAUACCGGAGAAUGUUAUCACGGGAGACACACGGCGGGUGCUAACGUCCGUCGUGAAGAGGGAAACAACCCAGACCGCCAGCUAAGGUCCCAAAGUCAUGGUUAAGUGGGAAACGAUGUGGGAAGGCCCAGACAGCCAGGAUGUUGGCUUAGAAGCAGCCAUCAUUUAAAGAAAGCGUAAUAGCUCACUGGUCGAGUCGGCCUGCGCGGAAGAUGUAACGGGGCUAAACCAUGCAC